rnacentral:tRNA from 1 species
GCCCCUGUAGACCAACUGGUAGAGUCGCCGCUCUUAAACAGCGGACAGUGUGGGUUCGACUCCCACCGGGGGCA